rnacentral:rRNA from 1 species
UGGGUAGCGGUGAACUUCCAAUCGAGCCCGGAGAUGGCUGGUUCUCCCCGAAAUAGCGUUAGGGCUAGCCUCAAGGUGGGAGAUACGGCGGUAGGGCACUGAAUGUACGAGGGGGUAUUGCACCGAACGAGGACUAUCAAACUCGGAAGGCCGUCAUCUUAUACUUUGGAGUCAGCCUGGGGGUGAUAAGAUUCAUAGCCGAAAGGGCAACAGCCCAGAUCGGCAGCUAAGGUCCCUAAAUGUAAGUUAAGUGGUAAAGGCUGUGGGAUUGCACAGACAACCAGGAUGUUGGCGUAGAAGCAGCCACUCAUUCACAGAGUGCGUAAUAGCUCACUGGUCGAGUGUUCCUGCGCCGAAGAUUUCCGGGGCUAAAGCUUACUACCGAAGCUAAGGGAUCAGGAAUGAUGGGUAGGGGAGCUUCCCAUACGGGUUGCAGCAUGACCGUAAGGACAUGUGGACAGUAUGGGAG